rnacentral:lncRNA from 1 species
UAAAAGACAGAAAAUCUUCUUAUCUAUUCACUAUUUGAAAAUAAAAAAAGGAAAAGAAAAAAAAGAUAAAAAAACCUAAUGGUUUCGUUCCCUUCCCAAGCGUCGCUCUCUGUAUCAACUCCGAUCGUACCAGAGGAGGACGUGAGCUUCAACGGCCCCGACGUCAAGGUAAUAUACCCUCCUUUCUCUAUGUUUUACAUAUAUACAUAAAAAGGUAACGAAUAAAAAUAAAAAUAAAAAUAAAAAACAAAGUCGGAGAAUCACCUUAAGAAAAAAAUUUGUUUUCUAUUACUUUUUUCAAUCGUUUUCAAUACAAUAUAUUUUUUUUAAUCUUCUGCACCCCCUCCCCG